rnacentral:misc_RNA from 1 species
UAGAAUUAUAAGCGAGGGUUGUCGCUGGCCUUUCGGGGCAUGUGCACGCCCGAGCUCUUAAAUCCACAACACACCUGUGAACCCACCGUAGGCCUUCGGGCUUAUGCAUUAUUUAUACUCUGUAUGUGUCAUAGAAUGUCCACGUUGCAUUAAAAACGCAAUAAAAUA